rnacentral:rRNA from 1 species
UACAGAGGGGGCAAGCGUUAUUCGGAAUUAUUGGGCGUAAAGGGCGCGUAGGCGGCCUGGCAAGUGGAAGGUGAAAUCCCUCGGCUUAACCGAGGAACUGCCUUCCAAAACUGCUUGGCUUGAGUCCGGGAGAGGUGAGUGGAAUUCCCCAGUGUAGCGGUGAAAUGCGUAGAUAUUGGGAGGAACACCAGUGGCGAAGGCGGCUCACUGGACCGGAACUGACGCUGAUGCGCGAAAAGCGUGGGGGGAGCAAAACGGGG